rnacentral:rRNA from 1 species
AUACGGAGGGUGCGAGCGUUAAUCGGAAUUACUGGGCGUAAAGCGCGCGUAGGCGGAUAAUUAAGUCAGAUGUGAAAUCCCCGGGCUCAACCUGGGAACUGCAUUUGAUACUGAUUAACUAGAGUAUGGUAGAGGUGAGUGGAAUUUCCGGUGUAGCGGUGAAAUGCGUAGAGAUCGGAAGGAACACCAGUGGCGAAGGCGACUCACUGGGCCAUUACUGACGCUGAGGUGCGAAAGCGUGGGUAGCAAACAGGAUUAGAGACCCUAGUAGUCC